AAAUGAAUUGACGGGGACCCGCACAAGCAGUGGAGUAUGUUGUUUAAUUCGAUGCUACGCGAGAAACCUUACCGACCCUUGACAUCCCGUUCGCGAUUACCAGAGAUGGUUUUCUUCAAUUCGGUUGGAACGGUGACAGAUGCUGCAUGGCUGUCGUCAGCUCGUGUCGUGAGAUGUUAGGUUAAGUCCUGCAACGAGCGCAACCCACACCCUAUGUUACCAGCGGAUAAUGCCGGGGACUCUUAGGGAACUGCCCGCGUCAAGCGGGAGGAAGGUGUGGAUGAUGUCAAGUCAUCAUGGUUCUUACGGGUCGGGCUACAAACGUACUACAAUGGUGAUAACAAUGGGUCGCUAUGCCGCAAGGCAAAGCCAAUCCUUAAAUAUUGCCCCAGUUCAGAUUGUUCUCUGCAACUCGAGAACAUGAAGUCGGAAUUGCUAGUAAUCGCGGAUCAGAAUGCCGCGGUGAAUUCGUUCCCGGGUCUUGUACACACCGCCCGU
rnacentral:rRNA from 1 species